rnacentral:rRNA from 1 species
GUAAAGGGCUCGUAGGCGGUUUGUCGCGUCUGGUGUGAAAACUCAAGGCUCAACCUUGAGCUUGCAUCGGGUACGGGCAGACUAGAGUGUGGUAGGGGUGACUGGAAUUCCUGGUGUAGCGGUGGAAUGCGCAGAUAUCAGGAGGAACACCGAUGGCGAAGGCAGGUCACUGGGCCACUACUGACGCUGAGGAGCGAAAGCAUGGGGAGCGAACAGGAUUAGAUACCCUGGUAGUCCAUGCCGUAAACGUUGGGCACUAGGUGUGGGGCUCAUUCCACGAGUUCCGCGCCGCAGCUAACGCAUUAAGUGCCCCGCCUGGGGAGUACGGCCGCAAGGCUAAAACUCAAAGGAAUUGACGGGGGCCCGCACAAGCGGCGGAGCAUGCGGAUUAAUUCGAUGCAACGCGAAGAACCUUACCAAGGCUUGACAUACACCGGAAUCAUGCAGAGAUGUGUGCGUCUUCGGACUGGUGUACAGGUGGUGCAUGGUUGUCGUCAGCUCGUGUCGUGAGAUGUUGGGUUAAGUCCCGCAACGAGCGCAACCCUCGUUCUCUGUUGCCAGCACGUUAUGGUGGGAACUCAGGGGAUACUGCCGGGGUCAACUCGGAGGAAGGUGGGGAUGACGUCAAAUCAUCAUGCCCCUUAUGUCUUGGGCUUCACGCAUGCUACAAUGGCCGGUACAAUGGGCAGCGAUACCGUGAGGUGGAGCGAAUCCCAAAAAGCCGGUCCCAGUUCGGAUCGUAGUCUGCAACUCGACUACGUGAAGUUGGAGUCGCUAGUAAUC